rnacentral:lncRNA from 1 species
UAGUUAACUCUCCAGGAGUUGUGUUUUGUGUCGUUUUGUAAUUAAGGCCGAAAGCCCAGUGCAUUUCGUUUCAUUUGAUGGCUGAGCAUGUUUAAAACUUGUAUCGAACUGUGGUGUUUUGAAGCCGAAAUAGGUCUCUUAAAGUGGAAGCCGAAUCGCGUACCUAGUUGACGCGUUUUGGGUCCUUAAAUUGGAAGCCGAAUCGCGUACCUAGUUGACGCGUUUUGGGUCCUUAAAUUGGAACUGUCAUUAAUUUUCAUUGAAAAUGGGUUAAAAAGGAAAAAAAAAAAAAAGCACAUUUGGGCCUGAAAGUUAACUUGCUCAUGAGUAAUGGGAAAACUGUUAACGUACAUUCCAAUAUUUAAAACAAAAGCUGGAUAAAACGCCCAAUCGUAUUUUGUGAGUUCCAGGGCUAUAGAGCAAGAAUCCGUCUCAAAACGAAAAAAAAAAAUCUCCAAGAAACAGAUUACCACCUAGAAAAAGGAGGGUUUUUGGUUUUUUUGUGGCUUUUUUUUUUUGUUGUGUUUUGGUUUUGUUUUUCCUUAGACAGGGUUUCACUGUAUAACCCUGGCUGUCCUGGAACUCAUGUCACCAGGCUGGCCUCAAACUCAGAAAUUUACCUGCUUCUGCCUCCCAAGUGCUGGGAUUAAAGGCGUGCACCACCACGCCCGGCCAAAAAAGGAGAUUCUUCAUGGACUUUGGAAAUGCAGAGGGUUCAGAUCUACUAUAACGAACUAAAAGAUACGUCCACAUUUUCUUGAUUGGGUUACAUUAGAAAUGCCUUUACUUUUUUUGAGACAGGAUCUUGAUGUAACUGGAUGUGUACUGAAGGCCUCCCUCUUGGAGCCUCUGUCUCCCAAAUGUGUUUUGCUUUAUUUUGAGAUAAGGUUUCAUUGUAGACCAUGCUGGUCUUGAUUGGAGGAUCUUGAUAUUUCUGCCUCCCAAGUGCUGUGAGCCACCAUCAACUUUUUUUUAAAGUGGUAUACCACAGAUUUUAGUACAUUGCUAGUUAUCAGACCCUCACUUCAAUCCGGUUUUAAAAAACGCUUCUAUCAUUUCAAGAAGAUACAUGUACCAACAGUCAUCCCAUGACAGUGUUCUCUAUGUCAAACCUCAGAAGCAACAGAUCAGGUUCUGCUUUUUGUUUGUUUGCUUUUUAAAGAUUUUUACGUGUUUGUAUAGUUGGAAUAGUACAUAGUCUUUUGUGACUGAAAUUUUUGCUUUCUAUUUAAAGUCUCAAAAAUGUUACUAAAGCUGGCUUCAUUUUAACUGCUAGUAUUUUUAAAUUGGUCCUACGACUUGGAGGUUUUGUGGUUAGUGUUUUGCUGUUUACCCUGGCUCUCCUAGGACUCCUAGCCUCAAACCAUCCUUCCACUUUCCCCUCCUUAGGCUACGGGAGCAAGGACUGCACCUAUAUAGCUCUUGGGGUGGAGUGGGGGAUGUGACUCAGGUUGGUCUCCUGUCUCAAGCUCUGAAAUUAGUGGCAUGAGAACAGUUGGGAUCCCCAAAGCAGAGUAGUGAUUAAUUUAUGACAGUUACAAAUAAGGUUGGCGUAUUGUAAAUAGUGACCUGAUACAUAGCCUCUGGAAACUGGAGGAAUCAGAACAGACUGCCCUUCUUCAGGUUUUAGUAGGACUCUAGACUUGAGCUAAAAGGUAUAUUAGAGCAAGGCUGUUUCCCUCCUCUCUUUACUUGAAUGGAAAGUCACCCCGUGAGAAAAUAUGUUGUCCAAAUCUGGUUUUGCUCAGUAACAUUUUGUUAAUUGAAGUCAAGAACUGUUGAACAAAAAUUUUCCUCUGACUUGCACAUUGCACUGAGGUAUAUGUGUGAAGUAUGAGCACAUAUACCAGAUUAACUAACUGUAAUAAAAGAUUGUUAAA